UGGGCACCGCGGCGCCGAUUCUCCCGCAGUAACAUUUCCGCGGCUUCGCAGCGCUUCCUGCUCCCGGUGCAGAUCAUCUUCGAGGAAUCCAUAAUUUGUGAUGAAAUUAUUACUUGUUGAAAUGCUACAUGAUAAUAAUAACACGGAGACAAGAAGCAAGUGAUGAUGGGGAUGCAGAGAAAUGGGCGCCCGCGAGCAGUGCUGAUGCAGCCCUUCUGGAAGCCUCUGUCCACUCAGGGCGCUGGAGAGGGGAUUGCCUCCCUCUCCCCCCCCCAGGGCACACCCAGGGGCUGAAAGCAGGAGCUCCACAGAUCCCGGUGGCCAGUGUUCACCGCACCGGUCCUCACCAUAGGGAAGGGGUGGCAACAGCCCAGGCGUCCAUCAGCAGAGGAAGGAUAAGCAAAAUGUGGUCCAUCCACACAGCCGAAUAUUACUCAUCUUUAAAAAGGAAGGACAUUCUGACACCUGCCACAGUGUGACGAACCUCGAGGACAGAUGCUAAGGAACGGGGGUCAGACAGGAAAAGACAAGCCUAUAAUUCUGCCUACAUGACACAUUUAGCACAGGCCAAUGCAUUGAGAGGGAAGGUAGAGGUUAGCGGGGCCUGGGGGACGGUGGGCCAGGGGCUUGUCGCUUACUGAGUACAAAGUUUCUGUUUGGGAUGACGGAAAAGUUCUGGGAAGGGUUGUGCACAUGGUUGCACGACGAUUUGAAUAUGCUCCAAUAUUCACAGUGCCACUGAACUGUGCACCUAAAAGUGAUUUUAAAAUGGCUAGUUUAGGGGCACCUGGGUGGCUCAGGGGCUGAGCGUCUGUCUGUCUUUGGCUCAGGGCGUGACCCCGCGGUGCCUGGAUCGAGUCCCGCAUGGGGCUCCCUGCACGGAGCCUGCUUCUCCCUCUGCCUGUGUCUCUGCCUCUUUCUCUCUGUGUGUCUCUCAUGAAUAAAUAAAUAAAAUCCUUAGAAAAAUAAAA